rnacentral:rRNA from 1 species
UGACGGUACUUGAUGAAUAAGCUCCGGCUAACUACGUGCCAGCAGCCGCGGUAAUACGUAGGUAGCGAGCGUUAUCCGGAAUUAUUGGGCGUAAAGGGUGCGUAGGCGGCCUGUUAAGUUUAUGGUGAAAGCGUGGGGCUCAACCCCAUAAAGCCAUAGAUACUGGCAGGCUAGAGUACUGGAGAGGGUAGUGGAAUUCCAUGUGUAGCGGUAAAAUGCGUAGAUAUAUGGAGGAACACCGGUGGCGAAGGCGGCUACCUAGACAGAGACUGACGCUGAGGCACGAAAGCGUGGGGAGCAAAUAGGAUUAGAUACCCUAGUAGUCCACGCUGUAAACGAUGAAUGCUAGGUAUCGGGGCGACCCGGUGCCGAAACUAACGCGAUAAGCAUUCCGCCUGUGGAGUAUGCACGCAAGUGUGAAACAUAAAGGAAUUGACGGGGGCCCGCACAAGCGGUGGAGUAUGUGGUUUAAUUCGACGCAACGCGAAGAACCUUACCAGGCCUUGACAUCCCUUGCGAAAUCCUGGAGACAGGAGGGAGGCUAUCAAGGAGACAGGUGGUGCAUGGUUGUCGUCAGCUCGUGUCGUGAGAUGUUGGGUUAAGUCCCGCAACGAGCGCAACCCUUGUCUUUAGUUACUAACAUCAAGUUGAGGACUCUAGAGAGACUGCCGGUGAUAAACCGGAGGAAGGUGGGGAUGACGUCAAAUCAUCAUGCCCCUUAUGGCCUGGGCUACACACGUACUACAAUGGCUGUUACAACGUGCAGCGACAGCGCAAGCUGAAGCGAAUCACUGAAAGACAGUCUCAGUUCGGAUUGAGGUCUGCAACCCGACCUCAUGAAGUUGGAAUCGCUAGUAAUCGCGGAUCAGCAUGCCGCGGUGAAUACGUUCUCGGGCCUUGUACUCACCGCCCGUCA